GAUCAAAUGUCUUUUAUUUGCAAAACGAAAAAUGGAUUUUUGAAAAAGAUGACAAACAUACAAGAUAUACAUCAUGCAACACAUGUGAAUGGCAUUGUACCUCGGCUAAGAAAGACUGGAAUGUUUAAUGGUGCCAUUUGAGAGCUGGCAAAAACAACUUUUCUACUUCUAUUUUGUUAAUCUCCGUUUUAUAAACUGUACAAUAUAAUUGUCCCAAGAAGAGUGGUAGAUUAGUCAUUGCAAUGUCAAGCGCUGUUAAUUUUUAAUGUAUACGAAUUACGUUGGUCACUAGAAAUGUGAAAAACACUAUGUUUCUGCAUUACUUUACUAAAAUUGUAAAUUUCGCCUUCCUUAAA